rnacentral:lncRNA from 1 species
GCACAGCCUCGGAUGAAUCACACACCAGAGAACAACGGGGCUAUUUCUCACGAGUCAUUUGUCAAGCUGACAUCCCUGCCUAGAGUUAUUUAGGGCUUUCUAAAGACACUUAUUUCCCUCCCUGUCGCAGGAAGCACCUGCACGGCUGUUGAGUUGUGGUUUUGCUCAAUAGCACUUUGAUAUCCCUUAAGGCCUUCUUCAAUUACUCUUCUGUCCCUGCCCAAUUGGACUUUGGCUGAGGCAGAGACCGGGAAGCUUCGAGAGGAUGAUGGAGAGGAAAAGGAUGUUUUCCUGCUUUCUAGAAACUUGGAAGAAGGAACUAAAGAUCAGAAACUUUUCUUCUCAGAGUCCAACCGGUCCAUGAUGGUUUGGGGAAGAACCUGCGGAAAGAGACGGCAGGAAAUUACCAAGACUGUGCCACCACCCGAAAGCUUGAAAACACCCCAGGAAGCCAUCCCCUCAUUGUGAAAGAACUAAUCGCCACACACCACUUGGUUUUCCUUCCUGGACGUCAUAGGCCAUAGCCCUGUAGUUCCCACAUUGUCUCUGUCAUCAUCCCAAGGAGUGUGACUCUUGAUUCUGAGCCUGGGCAGGACAGCCUGUCUCAGCACAGGCUGUUAUGUAAGUGGCUGUGGGGAGAGCUGGCAAUAAACAAACAUUUUUCCAGC